rnacentral:rRNA from 1 species
AUUGAACGCUGGCGGCAGGCCUAACACAUGCAAGUCGAGCGGUAACAGAAAGAAAGCUUGCUUUCUUUGCUGCCGAGCGGCGGACGGGUGAGUAAUGCCUGGGAAUAUACCCUGAUGUGGGGGAUAACUAUUGGAAACGAUAGCUAAUACCGCAUAAUCUCUUCGGAGCAAAGAGGGGGACCUUCGGGCCUCUCGCGUCAGGAUUAGCCCAGGUGGGAUUAGCUAGUUGGUGGGGUAAUGGCUCACCAAGGCGACGAUCCCUAGCUGGUCUGAGAGGAUGAUCAGCCACACUGGAACUGAGACACGGUCCAGACUCCUACGGGAGGCAGCAGUGGGGAAUAUUGCACAAUGGGGGAAACCCUGAUGCAGCCAUGCCGCGUGUAUGAAGAAGGCCUUCGGGUUGUAAAGUACUUUCAGUUGUGAGGAAGGCGUUGGAGUUAAUAGCUUCAGCGCUUGACGUUAGCAACAGAAGAAGCACCGGCUAACUCCGUG